ensembl:rRNA 5S_rRNA 5S ribosomal RNA
GCUUACGGCCAUACCACCCUGAGAACGCCCGAUCUUGUUUGAUCUCGGAAGCUAAGCAGGGUCGGGCCUGGUUAGCACUUGGAUGGGAGACCGCCUGGGAAUACCAGGUGCUGUAAGCU